rnacentral:rRNA from 1 species
UACGUAGGGGGCAAGCGUUGUCCGGAAUCAUUGGGCGUAAAGCGCGUGUAGGCGGUCCGGUAAGUCCGCUGUAAAAGUCGGGGGCUCAACCCUCGGAUGCCGGUGGAUACUGUCGGGCUUGAGUACGGAAGAGGCGAGUGGAAUUCCUGGUGUAGCGGUGAAAUGCGCAGAUAUCGGGAGGAACACCAGUGGCGAAGGCGGUUGCCUGGGGCUUUGCUGACGCUGAUGCGCGAAAGCGUGGGGAGCAAACAGG